rnacentral:misc_RNA from 1 species
GACGGAGGGUGCUAGCGUUGUUCGGAAUCACUGGGCGUAAAGGGCGCGUAGGCGGCCCAUGCCGUCGGCUCGUGAAAGCCCGGGGCUCAACCCCGGAGGUGCGGCCGAGACCCAUGGGCUGGAGGCCGGAAGAGGAGGGUGGAAUACCCAGUGUAGAGGUGAAAUUCGUAGAUAUUGGGUGGAACACCGGUGGCGAAAGCGGCUCUCUGGUCCGGACCUGACGCUGAGGCGCGAAAGCGUGGGGAGCAAACAGG